CUAUUUUCUUUUCUUCUUUUUAUUUUUUUUAAGUCAUAUCGGAGAAAAAGCAUCAGUUUUCAAAGGUUCCAUGUAUCUGAUCUUCCAGCACCAGCAAAAACGUGUCCAAGAGACUCCGCCAAAAAAGAUGAAGUCUUGCUUUGUCGCCCAGGCUGGAGUGCCAGUAGUGUGAUUGUGGUUCACUGUAGCCUCCGCCUCCCGGGUUCCAGAGAUUCUCCUGCCUCAGCCUCCCAGGAAUAAGUCCACUCCGAAAAAAAAAUUAAAUGCUAAUGAAGGCAACUUGUGAACGAUAAUGUGCAAAGUUGCUGAGAAGCCAAAGGUCAAGAGGCUGCAUCUGUUAAGAGCCUUCUUGCUGGUGGAGACUUUGAAGAGUCCCAAGACGGCACAAGUUACCACAUAGAGAAGAGGCUGAGCAUGCUAGCUCAGGUCUCUCCUCUACUUUUAAUAAAGCCACCGAUACUACUCCAAUGAUAACCCAUCAACCCAUUAAUUCAUUAAUGUAAUACAUUAAUGAAUUAAUGGACAAAUCCAUCCAUGAAAGCAGUCUUCAUGAUCCAGUCACAUCUUAGCAGCCCCAUGCUCAGUCAGUACUUCUACAGUGGGGUUUCAAUUUCAGUAUAAUCCAGGUACAAGGGCUCAUGCCUAUAAUCCCAGCAAUUUGGGAGGCCAAGGUGGGUGGAUUGCUUGAGUCUAGGAGUUUGAGACCAACCUGGGCAACAUGGCAAAACCCUGUCUUUACAACAAAAAUAUAAAAAUUAGCUGGGUGUAGUUGUGUGUGCCUGUGGUCCCAGCUACUCCAGGGGCUGAGGUGGAAGGAUCACUUGAGCCUGGGAGGUGGAGUUUAUAGUGAGCCAAGAUUGCACCACUGCACUCCAACCUGGGCAACAGAGUGAGAUCUGUCUCAAACAGAAACAAAAAAAAUUCAAGGUGAGUUUUAAAGGGGACAAACAUUCAAACCGUAGCAGUACCGAAUCCUGCAUAAGGGUCCGAAUAGUGUACCCCAGACAGUAUUUAUGACAGUACCUUACAUCAACGUGUCUUCACACCUGUAAAAAGGGGAUAAUGACCCAAGUCCAAGUCAGCCUCAUAGAGGGUAGUGUUUUUUUAUUUUGGCAUAUGCGUAUCUUUAGAUAUAGAAAUUAUGCGUGUUAUAUAAACACACACAUGAUAUGUUAUAUAUAUAUUCUAAACAUAUUAUCUCACACAAAAAUGAACUCUCAAUAAGUGUUAGAUCUUUUUAUUAUUAUUUCUCAUAUAGUAAGCCUAUGUAUGGAUAUUCAUAAUUGAGAAGUUUCAUUUUAAUGACUUAAAAUUGAGGCAAGGCAAAGUUAAUGCCUUGCCUACUAAUAUCCAGACAAAAAGAUUGUCUGUAUUUCUCCCUAUGUCCUUGCUGUUAUUUUUUGUAUUGCAGUUCUUCAUAUGAAAUCCUGUAGGAUUUCAACUCAAAUCAAAUCACCCAAACCUUCAAAUGGUGUUUCUGUCAUUAUAUUUGUUUGCGUGCUUAAUUGUUCUUUGUUUGUUUCCCCUACAAGUUGGCUUUUUGUCUCCAUCAAGAUCAGUUUGUAUAUUUCCUAUUUUCUAGGAGGGUGAAGAGAAAGGAGACUGCAUGUUCUGACAUGUACUUUUAAAUUAAAAAGAGAGUGAGUUUAAAAUAGAAGUAAUUCUAACACAUGCAGAUAUCCACAUGCUGAGGAGACAAUUCUAUUGUAUUUUUCAAACAUUAAAAACAGAGAGAGAGGGAGGAAAAUAAAAUUAGUCCAUAUUGGAAUGAACACAACUGGGGCCUUGGCAAAGCUGACACAGACAUCGCUGCCAGUGUACAACAGAGCACAAAGGGUCUGUUUCUGCUGAUCAUCACGAAUCACUGAGACCUCUAAAUAUGUUCUUUUAAACAAGAAUGAGUAAUACUGCAAUUUUUCUUUCACAAAUGAGUCAAUACAAUCUGACACAUACCAUUCAGUGUACAUUUUUUAGGUAUUUUUAUUGCUGUUAGAUGAAAGUUGGCAUAUGUAUUUUUUUGUUUCAUUAUUUUUGGGUUAGAUUAUUAUUUGGCCUGCUUUUGUGUGUUUGUAUAUGUGUGUUUCUCUCUCUCUCUCUCUCUCUCUCUCUCUCUCUCUCUCUCUCUCUCUGUGUGUGUGUGUGUGUGUGUGUGUGUGUGUGUAUCUGUGUGAUUCUAGGGGAAACUAGAACAGAAAAAUUUACAGCUGCUUGUAUCCUGUUUCAUUCGACAGAGGAGACUGGGAUUUCUGUUUCUUCUAUUUCCUGACUCAUUUCCAAAAGGCCUCUACUAUCACAAUUGUCACAGCAACAAUACUUUCUAUAUAGCAAAAAUAUUUCCCAGUUUACCUAUUUCAAGAAAGUGAUUUCUAGGCUAACAAAAAAAUGAGUACAAUCUCCUGGCUGGCUGCAAUAGAAACAUAGAGAAGUAAAAUUUAACAAUAAGCAUAAUCUAGAAAAAAUAAUUCUAACUAGACUCGGCUUCACUGAUACUCAAAAUCUGUUCUACCUUGCUUUAUCGCUCCUUUCACCUAUCGAACAGCGCAUAUGUGGACAUUCUUUGUUUCUGCAUGUCCCAAAUAGAUCCUCUUUCUCCUGAAACAACACUCUGCUAUCCCUUUGGUGAGCCACCCCUCCUUCUGCUCAGUCCUUCAGCUAACCCUAACUUUAACCACAGUUCUAGUAAGGACACAGAAUCAGGCUUAGCAAAAAAAAAAAAAAAAAAAAAAAAGUAUAUUAUUUUAGUACGAAAGCCCAAGCCAUCCAAUGACAACCUCAGCCUUUUUGCUAGAAUUUUGGGGAACAUGAACCCCUCUUUUGACCUGGUGAGCUGCAUUUAUGGGAAAGUUGCCAGAUGCUGAUGGUAAUCUUACUGUCUUAGUAAGGAAACAGCCUGCCUGAGAUUGGAAUGGGGAUAGAGGAAAGCAGAGAUGAAGACAGACCAAGUUUGACAUUGCUUUGGUACCUGGACUCAUUCGACCACACCCAGAGAAAAUUCUGUCACCAUACUUUUCAGUUAUGUGAGUUAAUCAACUUAAAAUAAGGCAAAGUGAAGGUUUUGUGUUUUGUUUGAUGUGAAAUUAAAAAGUUCCUGAUAGAACUAGGUUAUAUUUGUAUAUUUGAUACACAUAUUCACAUAUUCAUUACUCAUUCAAAAAUACUUAGAGUUUGAGGGAACUUUACUUCCAUACUUCUGAGCAUUCUCUGUUCUCUCACUAACUCCCCCACAGGAGAAGAUGACCAGCUUAAUCUGACUGGUGAUUGUGAAAGGAGAACAGGGCUAUGUACUCUCUCUCUCUCUCUUUUUCUUUAAUGACUGCCCCAUAAUUUAUUGAAUUAACUUUCAAUUGUGAAACAUUUAUGGUAACCAAUUUUCUUACAAUUAGAGAUAAUAUUAGGAUGAUAACCUUGUGCAUUAAUCUUUGUGCAUCAACCCCAAUUUCCUGGGUCAAUAUCCAGGAGGAGAAUUCUUCUAGGCAUUCGAGAAGAUUUGCUGGGUCAAAGAGUGAAAACAUUUUUGAGCCUAUUUUCCGACUUUAUGAAGGUAUAGUUGGCAAAUAAAAAUUGAAUAUAUUAAAGUCAUACAACAAUGGGAUGUUUUGAUUGAUAUAUGUUGUGAAAUGAUUACCACAAUCAAGCCAACUAACCUAUCCAUCAUCUCACUUAGUUGCUAUUUUGUGUGUGAGAACACUUAAGAUCUACUGUCUUAGCAAAUGCAAAAUGUACAAUAUAUUAUUACUAACUAUAGUUGUCAUUCUGAACAUUAGGUGUCCAGAACUUAUUUAUCUUCUAACUGCAACUUUGAAUCCUUUGACUAACAUCUUCCCUAUUUCUCCACCCACAGCACCUGGUAAACAUUAUUCCAUUCUCUAUUACUAUGAGUUCAACUAUUUCAUAUAAAUGAGAUCAUGCUAUAUUUGUCUUUCUGUGUUUGGUUUAUAUUGCUUUACCUGAUGUCCUUCAGUUUCUUUCAUGUUGUCACAACUGGCAGAAUUUCUUUCUUUUU